GGCAGAGGAAGGACCGGAAAUCCCAGGGGCUCAAAAAGUAAAGCUUCAUGAAGAGGAGCAGUGACACCACCUAGAAAACCAGGGGACAAGUUCAAGACACAGAAAUAGGUGAUUGUGAGCACAGCCUUUGGACCUUACAAGAUUUCCUCUUACAACCUGCUUAGGCGCCUCAUGACAUUGUGGAUCCAGAAGAACUGCUGUAAUGUGACCACAUUUGGGUCAGGACGUGGGUGUCCCCAGGCAGGAGGCGUAACAACACAAUCAAAGUCCUUUUCAGGCAAGUAACCGCCCUCAGUGUUCCCGGGUUCUCAAGUUACUUAACAGCUCUGGUUUUGAUUCCUGUGCCAAUAAAAUGGGGGAAGUUGCCCAUUUCACUGAUGUGCAAUAAGAAAUGAAAUACAUGUAAACUGGCUGGUACGCAGUCAGUACUCAAUACA